AGAGUUUGAUCCUGGCUCAGGACGAACGCUGGCGGCGUGCUUAACACAUGCAAGUCGAACGAUGAACCACUUCGGUGGGGAUUAGUGGCGAACGGGUGAGUAACACGUGGGCAAUCUGCCCUGCACUCUGGGACAAGCCCUGGAAACGGGGUCUAAUACCGGAUACUGAUCGCCUUGGGCAUCCUUGGUGAUCGAAAGCUCCGGCGGUGCAGGAUGAGCCCGCGGCCUAUCAGCUUGUUGGUGAGGUAAUGGCUCACCAAGGCGACGACGGGUAGCCGGCCUGAGAGGGCGACCGGCCACACUGGGACUGAGACACGGCCCAGACUCCUACGGGAGGCAGCAGUGGGGAAUAUUGCACAAUGGGCGAAAGCCUGAUGCAGCGACGCCGCGUGAGGGAUGACGGCCUUCGGGUUGUAAACCUCUUUCAGCAGGGAAGAAGCGAAAGUGACGGUACCUGCAGAAGAAGCGCCGGCUAACUACGUGCCAGCAGCCGCGGUAAUACGUAGGGCGCGAGCGUUGUCCGGAAUUAUUGGGCGUAAAGAGCUCGUAGGCGGCUUGUCGCGUCGGUUGUGAAAGCCCGGGGCUUAACCCCGGGUCUGCAGUCGAUACGGGCAGGCUAGAGUUCGGUAGGGGAGAUCGGAAUUCCUGGUGUAGCGGUGAAAUGCGCAGAUAUCAGGAGGAACACCGGUGGCGAAGGCGGAUCUCUGGGCCGAUACUGACGCUGAGGAGCGAAAGC
rnacentral:rRNA from 1 species